UACGUAGGGUGCAAGCGUUGUCCGGAAUUAUUGGGCGUAAAGAGCUCGUAGGCGGUUUGUCGCGUCUGCUGUGAAAACCCGAGGCUCAACCUCGGGCCUGCAGUGGGUACGGGCAGACUAGAGUGCGGUAGGGGAGAUUGGAAUUCCUGGUGUAGCGGUGGAAUGCGCAGAUAUCAGGAGGAACACCAAUGGCGAAGGCAGAUCUCUGGGCCGUAACUGACGCUGAGGAGCGAAAGCAUGGGGGAGCGAAACAGG
rnacentral:rRNA from 1 species